GUUUUGCAGUAAAUUCCAAAAAGAAAAAGUGCACUUUAAAUACCUGGAUGAUACCCUUAAAUAACCAAAAAAAAAAAAAAAAAAAAAACUAAGUGUGGAAAGAUGAACACUUAAAGUCUGCAUGAAAUCAAAAUUGACUUUAUUUAAUUUACUAGCGCAGAUAGCUAAAAGUUGAUCCGUUGAAAAAAAAAAACUUGUCUUGGAAAUUUUUAAUCAAAAUCUGAACAUUUACUUCCGCUCUGGAAUGGAAUUAUUUUUCUCAUGACGUCAGUUUGACGGCGUGGGCUGAACAUCCUUAGCCACGCCCCUCCAACUGUUAGUUUGCUAUGAGACAGAGACAGAGAGGAGGGGUGCAAAAAUAAUACCACGCCCUCUGUUCAAUAUUCCAUUUCAGCUAGAAAUACACCACUUUACUCUGAAAUAAAGUCGGCAGCAACUUUCAUUUCACGCGGACUUUAAUGCACUCAGCUAUCGCAGCUUUAAUUUCGUCAUGAAGGGGGAGGGGCUAUCAGACUCCGAUAAUUAAUGACAAAAUAACCUAAUAAAAUUCAUGCACUACAUGGUUGAAGAUAUAGUGCAUAAGUACAUAGUUAUAUUUAUGUAUAACAAUGUAUUUUUUAAUAUUUGUUAUUAAAACAAAGUCACGUGUCAUUUGAACUACUAACUGAGUUUUGCAAUAUUCUAUAUAUUUCAUAGCAACUUAUGAAAAUGCAUGACCAAAAGCCUUGCUGUCUGUGACAAACCGCCACAUACCUGGCACAAAGCACUGCUCUGUAAUAAACAUUAAUAGCUUAAGUUAAACCGUGGUGUCUGCAGUUAAAGGAGCACAAUCUGCGCUUUGUUGCAGCGGAUGGACCGUAAUUUACUCCCGGUCCCUUGUGAUAACCGCCGGGCGGAUAUAAACGACACGGGGGUGACUACAUUCAACCAUUACACGCACCCCUCUCGCAAGUUAUUCUGCCACAAAAUGGCGGAGCUCGACGCGAAAGACCCCAUUUUGUCAUGCAGACGUUAAAAACAGUUCAAGGAAGCGGAGUUUUGUGUUUUUAACGCUAUUUCGAGCGAGUUCGGGAUGCGUUUAGCUGCGCCUGCUCAUAUGUUGUGGCGUCGCGCGGUGGAGAAUAAUGUCCGCGCGCUCUGGGUUUGACGCAGCUCGAGCGCUGCGCGAGUGAAGCCACCCGAAUAUAUAAAUAUAAAUGUAUUUAUCGACCUACAUUAGAUUUAUAUCAUAUUUUAAAUAACACGUAAUGAACUUGAUGGGGGAAUCAUUUUAUCUGGAAGAUAUUUGACUCUUUCAUAUUCUGAUCUUAAAGGACUGGACUGUGUCGUGAGGGAACCAUGCAAACACUGCUUAUAGAAAUGCACAGACAUAGACUGAACUGAAGGAUUCAGUUUACAUGCAGCUUUACUUCAGCAACUAAAAACUGCAUCAUCAGAGAAGUUAUUAAACAUAAGCCACCCUUCCAGAUUGUCAACCUAAUCUGUUUAAUAUUAGUCUGUCAUCUGAUGGAUGCACGAGCAAAACAGAAUUAUAUAUACAGUCUUUGCUAAACUCAGACAACCCCAGAUACUAAGUAGCAUAUUAAGGCUUUAUUAAAGGGGGAAAGCUGUGAGUAGCCAGAUAUGAUCAAUAAAAGUGGACAGAGUGCGCCACCAUGUGGUUAAACAUCGAAAAUGUUCUGCAUUAAAUAGCAACAUUUGAGUCGUUUGAAGAAAGAACAUACUUGCAUGAGGUGAAACACGUUGAAAUGAGUCAGUAGAUAAAAAUUGUUAGAUUUUUAAAAAGUGAUUAUAUGUAUCAGCAUGCUGAUUGAAAGGCGGUAAUGCUUGACACCCCAAAAUGCAUGUUUACAAUUAUGCAUUUUCUUUAGUAUCACUGAGAUAGCAUUAUAGUUUUUAUUAUUAUUUUGAAUAAAUUUUUAUUUUUUAAUAAGUUUUAAGUAGUUUUGCCAUUUUAAAUAUUUUUAAUGUCUAUAAUUCUUUUCAGUUUUAUUUUAGCACUUUAAGUCAAAUUAAAUUAAGAUAAGAUUUCUUGGCAACUGACUGGAAUUAAAAAGUUUUGUACACAUUUACACUACAAAGACAAAAGUUUUUUUUUUUUUUUUUUUUUUUGAGUUACCAUUUUAGUCAAUUUGUCCUAGUACCAUUUGAGUUUAGUUAUUUUUUAUGGUUUCAGUUUUUAAUUAUAAUAACCCUGGCAUAACUUUGAGGAUGUAAUUUGUGUUUUUAGCCACUAGGCGGCAGCACUAUCACACAUGAGCUAUUAUAAUUUAAUCUCAAGGUACUGUAUGGAUGAUAACAAAGAAAUUGAUAUAAUAAAACUGAUUUUCACUGUAA